ensembl:lncRNA
UUUUAUGUCCCACGCCUCCGGCCCGCUCCGAACAGCGAAGGCCCGCCAGCCCCCCAAAACAAAAAUAAAGCGUCGCGCAGACCCCCCGGGUGGCACCCCGCAGCCGGAGCAUCGCGCAAGGAGCCGCCGGAUACGGAUCCGCGGCAAGGCCGCGAUGCCGAGGGCGGCUGGAAAGUCUCCCCGCGUGGCCCCCGCUGCCGAGCACGUUUCACCGUGGCUGAAUUGGGGAAAUUUGCUGCUUUUUCCUCCAUCCCGGCCAGGCCGGGGUGCGCAAGGCGCCGGAGCCCCAGCCUCCGCGUGUUGCCCCGCACCAGGCUUGGCCGACAGAGGUUAUCCCGGCACGGGAGGUGAGGAGCGUGGCCCCACCAAGGCAGAGGCCAAGGGGAAGGAAAAGGAGAAGGGGAGGAAGGAAAGGAAAAGGAGAAGGGGAGGAAGGAAAGGAAAAGGAAAAGGAGAGAAAGGAAAGGAAAAGGAAAAGGAAAAGGAAAAGGAAAAGGAGAGAAAGAAAAGGAGAAGGAAAAGGAAAGAAGGAAUAGGAAAAGAAGAGAAAGAAAAUGGAAAAAGAAAAGGAGAGAAAGCAAAGGAAAAGAAAAAGGGGAGAAGGAAAAGGUGAGAAAGAAAAGGAAAAGGUGAGAAAGAAAAGGAGAAGAAGAAGAACAGGAAUAAGAAAGAAGGAAGGAGGGAGAAGGAAGGAAGGAGACAAGGAAGGAAGGAGGGUGGGAAGGAAGGAGAGAGACAAGGAAGGGAGGGAGGAAAGAAAGGAGGGAAAGAAGGAAGGAGGGAAGGAAGGAUGGAAAGAAGGUGGAAGGGUAGGAGAGAAGGGAGGAGGAAAGGCAGGAGAGGAAGGGAAACAGUGCCGGCCUCCACGUGGCCACCCAGUGGGUGCCAUGGUGGCAGGUGCCACCAUGGCAGGUGCCACGGUAGCGGGUCCCGCUGCGCUGGGUGCCACCAUGCUGGUAGCCGUGCUGGUGGACGCCACCGUGGUGGACACCACCGUGGUGGGUGCCACGGUGGCAGGUGCCACCACAGCGGGUGCCACGGUGGCGGGUGCCACGGCGGCGGGUGCCACGGCCAGCACCAGGGACAGCGGCUCCYGCAGACCAUGGACAGCGGCCUCGGGGGGGGCCAUGGGCCACCGUUGGCCACCGUUGGCCACGGUAGACCAUGGGCCACCGCCACCGCGGGCCGCCAGCCCCAGCGGGCCACCGCGGGUGACGGCAGCUGUCCCCGGCCUCGUCGCGGCCCGAAYGGGGCGGUUUUUGCCCCGAAACGGCGCCGGGUUUCAGGGCCGGGGGAAGCGGGAGGCGAGGCGAGCGGCAGGCAAUCAAAGACAGAUGGGGGAGCCGGGACGCGCGCAGCACGUGGCGCCGGUGCCUCAUCCCCGGCAACACAAAGGAGCGCGGGAGGCAUCGCUGCGCGGAUUAGCAUCUGCCCGGUGCGCGGCCCUUUCCGAGGCAUUUGCUUCUCAUCAGCGCGAGCCGGCGCACCGGCGCUGCCUCCGGAGAUCCCGUCCCUGGGAAAAGGCGGCGCGCCGCAAAGCGAGCAGGGACGCCCGCUUCACCCGAGCUCCUCGCGUCGGCUGCAGACCCUGCCCUCUCCGGAGAGGCGCUUCCAAACGCCUCCCGGAUUUUUUUCCCCCUUUUUUUCCCCCCGUUCGCCCGUGUUGCAAAGGCUGGUAGCAAUUUUGUAGCAGGCAAACGUCUCCAGCGGAGAUGUUCCCCGGGAGCAUCACAUCUCACUGCCUUUGCACCGCCCUGUGCCGGGAGCAGCCCGCUCCGGACUGUGGAUGGCCAGGAGCGCUCGGCCCUCGCGAACGCAGGCGCCGGCCAAAACAAGCAUUUUGCAGCCACAUUUCCGGCUCCCGUUUUAAAGCAUCGGCUCUUUUGACACAGCUUCGCCCGGUUUGGCUCCAGCAGCAGGAACGGUCCGGCAACGUGGACCGCUGUCCCCUCCAGGAGCCGAGCCGGAGGCGCCAAAACCAGCCUUCAAAACUGCUCGACCGGCUCCAGUCCCGCUCCGAAUCCCUUUCCGCAGCGUUUCCCUGCACC